UAUUAUUAUUAUUAUGGGUGGAGGGGGGAGUUGUGUGGUUACUGACUGGUUUAUCAAAUAAACUUUGGGCAGGAGUGUUCUUUAUAUUAUAAUUGGUUUAUAUUGAUAAUUAGCUCUUUAUUUGUUUUAUUCAGGACCAUUUCUAGUUUUUACAUAACAUCAUAACACAGUGUUUAAUCCAUCACUAAAUAAAUGAAUUAGUAAAUAGUCCAAAGUUCUUUUAAGCUUAUAGUGGAUUUUUUUUUUUACUUUUAUAUUUAUUGAAGUCCAUUUCUUCCUAAGUUGGAGAAUAGUAUACACUCUAAAAAAUGAUUCUGCGGCCUUGUAAAUUUCACAGUUAUAAACAGGUUAUGUUACCUUAAUAAAAUCUCUAAAAGUCACAUACAUGAUUGUUUGAGUUAGACAAAUCAAAAUAAAUGCCUAAAAAAACAAUUAUUCAUUUUGUCUUAAAUUUACACUAUAAUUUAAGUUUACUUCACUAGUAAAAAUCAGCAUUUGACUAACUGAAUUAUAUUUUUAACAUGCACUUAAUAUUUUUUGAUACAUUUCAAUCAAAAUUCCGUUAAUGGAGUAAUUGAACUGAUUAGUUUCAAGAACUACAAUUAUAAAUUAUUCCAACUCAAUAUUCUUUAUAUUUAACAACAAAAACUUAAAUAAUUGAGUAAAUUGCCCUUUGCAAGUGCUCAUGGGAAGUCUGGUGUAACAUCAGAGACAAGAAGGCUGUGAGGAUGUGAGAAUGGACAUGAAGCACCUGGAACAUUCUGGAACAUUCCUUACAAAUCCUGCACCAACACCACUAAUGAAGAGAAGUUGAAUGGAGAUAAAACAGGAGGUGCCAGCAUUAUGGGAUGGCGGUGUAAGCUCUGCACAUUUGUCGCAUCAUCAAAAGGAAUUUCGAUCAUUAUGGAGUGAAGCAUGGUACUGUUGGUCAUGGAUAUUUAGUGUCCUGUCUUCAUUUAGACUGUCAUUGCUUCUUUAAGAUUUGAGAAGGUCUGCACACACAUUUGUAUGGAUCCCACAGUUUGCAGGAAACUGAAGUGUGAAGGUGUGCAAUCUUUCAGAUGUAAAAUGUGACUCAUUAGAUUCUAAUACAAAAGUCUACUUUUCACAUAUUAACUGUAUAAUACUUGUGGCAUAAGUAUUGUUUCUGAAACUGUU